AGCUUUGCGCAGUGGCAGUAUCGUAGCCAAUGGGGUUUAUCCGAGGCGCGAUUAUUGCUAAUUGAAAAGAGGAAUCACAGGUGC
rnacentral:snRNA from 1 species